CACCGCGGUUAUACGAGAGGCUCAAGUUGAUAGAUACCGGCGUAAAAUGUGGCUAUCAUAAUAUUACACUAAAGCUAAACAUCUUCAAAGCUGUUAUACCCUUAUGAAGACAGGAAACACCCCUACGAAAGUGACUUUAAAAAAUGCUACCCACGAAAGCUAGGAAA
rnacentral:rRNA from 1 species